rnacentral:rRNA from 1 species
CGAAUGCUGACAUAAGUAACGAUAAAGCGGGUGAAAAGCCCGCUCGCCGGAAGACCAAGGGUUCCUGUCCAACGUUAAUCGGGGCAGGGUGAGUCGACCCCUAAGGCGAGGCCGAAAGGCGUAGUCGAUGGGAAACAGGUUAAUAUUCCUGUACUUGGUGUUACUGCGAAGGGGGGACGGAGAAGGCUAUGUUGGCCGGGCGACGGUUGUCCCGGUUUAAGCGUGUAGGCUGGUUUUCCAGGCAAAUCCGGAAAAUCAAGGCUGAGGCGUGAUGACGAGGCACUACGGUGCUGAAGCAACAAAUGCCCUGCUUCCAGGAAAAGCCUCUAAGCAUCAGGUAACAUCAAAUCGUACCCCAAACCGACACAGGUGGUCAGGUAGAGAAUACCAAGGCGCUUGAGAGAACUCGGGUGAAGGAACUAGGCAAAAUGGUGCCGUAACUUCGGGAGAAGGCACGCUGAUAUGUAGGUGAAGCGACUUGCUCGUGGAGCUGAAAUCAGUCGAAGAUACCAGCUGGCUGCAACUGUUUAUUAAAAACACAGCACUGUGCAAACACGAAAGUGGACGUAUACGGUGUGACGCCUGCCCGGUGCCGGAAGGUUAAUUGAUGGGGUUAGCGCAAGCGAAGCUCUUGAUCGAAGCCCCGGUAAACGGCGGCCGUAACUAUAACGGUCCUAAGGUAGCGAAAUUCCUUGUCGGGUAAGUUCCGACCUGCACGAAUGGCGUAAUGAUGGCCAGGCUGUCUCCACCCGAGACUCAGUGAAAUUGAACUCGCUGUGAAGAUGCAGUGUACCCGCGGCAAGACGGAAAGACCCCGUGAACCUUUACUAUAGCUUGACACUGAACAUUGAGCCUUGAUGUGUAGGAUAGGUGGGAGGCUUAGAAGUGUGGACGCCAGUCUGCAUGGAGCCGACCUUGAAAUACCACCCUUUAAUGUUUGAUGUUCUAACGUUGACCCGUAAUCCGGGUUGCGGACAGUGUCUGGUGGGUAGUUUGACUGGGGCGGUCUCCUCCUAAAGAGUAACGGAGGAGCACGAAGGUUGGCUAAUCCUGGUCGGACAUCAGGAGGUUAGUGCAAUGGCAUAAGCCAGCUUGACUGCGAGCGUGACGGCGCGAGCAGGUGCGAAAGCAGGUCAUAGUGAUCCGGUGGUUCUGAAUGGAAGGGCCAUCGCUCAACGGAUAAAAGGUACUCCGGGGAUAACAGGCUGAUACCGCCCAAGAGUUCAUAUCGACGGCGGUGUUUGGCACCUCGAUGUCGGCUCAUCACAUCCUGGGGCUGAAGUAGGUCCCAAGGGUAUGGCUGUUCGCCAUUUAAAGUGGUACGCGAGCUGGGUUUAGAACGUCGUGAGACAGUUCGGUCCCUAUCUGCCGUGGGCGCUGGAGAACUGAGGGGGGCUGCUCCUAGUACGAGAGGACCGGAGUGGACGCAUCACUGGUGUUCGGGUUGUCAUGCCAAUGGCACUGCCCGGUAGCUAAAUGCGGAAGAGAUAAGUGCUGAAAGCAUCUAAGCACGAAACUUGCC